rnacentral:rRNA from 1 species
GUGGGGAAUAUUGGACAAUGGGCGAAAGCCUGAUCCAGCAAUGCCGCGUGAGUGAUGAAGGCCUUAGGGUUGUAAAGCUCUUUUACCCGGGAAGAUAAUGACGGUACCGGGAGAAUAAGCCCCGGCUAACUCCGUGCCAGCAGCCGCGGUAAUACGGAGGGGGCUAGCGUUGUUCGGAAUUACUGGGCGUAAAGCGCGCGUAGGCGGCCAUUUAAGUCAGAGGUGAAAGCCCGGUGCUCAACAUCGGAAUAGCCUUUGAGACUGGGUGGCUAGAAUCCAGGAGAGGUGAGUGGAAUUCCGAGUGUAGAGGUGAAAUUCGUAGAUAUUCGGAAGAACACCAGUGGCGAAGGCGGCUCACUGGACUGGUAUUGACGCUGAGGUGCGAAAGCGUGGGGAGCAAACAGGAUUAGAAACCCCUGUAGUCC